rnacentral:rRNA from 1 species
UACGGAGGGUGCAAGCGUUAUCCGGAUUUACUGGGUUUAAAGGGUGCGUAGGUGGGUCUGUAAGUCAGUGGUGAAAUCUCCGGGCUUAACCCGGAAACUGCCAUUGAUACUAUAGGUCUUGAAUAUCCUGGAGGUGAGCGGAAUAUGUCAUGUAGCGGUGAAAUGCUUAGAUAUGACAUAGAACACCCAUUGCGAAGGCAGCUCACUACGGGAUUAUUGACACUGAGGCACGAAAGCGUGGGGAUCAAACAGG